rnacentral:rRNA from 1 species
AUUGAACGCUGGCGGCAGGCCUAACACAUGAAAGUCGAACGAGUGGCGGACGGGAGAGUAAUGUAUGGGAAACUGCCUGAUGGAGGGAGAUCACUACUGGAAACGGUCGCUAAUACCGAAUACCAUCGGAGGUGCCCAGAUGGGAUUAGCUGGUAGGUGGGGGAAAGGCUCACCUAGGCGAACAUCCCUAGCUGGUCUGAGAGGAUGAACAGCCACACUGGAACUGAGACACGGUCCAGACUCCUACGGGAGGCAGCAGUGGGGAAUAUUGCACAAUGGGCGCAAGCCUGAUGCAGCCAUGCCGCGUGUGUGAAGAAGGCCUUCGGGUUGUAAAGCACUUUCAGCGGGGAGGCGUUACCCGCAGAAGAAGCACCGGCUAACUCCGUGCCGGCCGCCGCGGUAAUUC